CUACGGGUCGCUCCAGUGAGGAAUAUUGCACAAUGGGGGGAACCCUGAUGCAGCAACGCCGCGUGGAGGAUGACGCAUUUCGGUGUGUAAACUCCUUUUAUAUGUCAAGAAAAUGACGGUAGCAUAUGAAUAAGCACCGGCUAACUCCGUGCCAGCAGCCGCGGUAAUACGGAGGGUGCAAGCGUUACUCGGAAUCACUGGGCGUAAAGGACGCGUAGGCGGGUUGUAAAGUCAGGUGUGAAAUCCUACAGCUUAACUGUAGAACUGCACUUGAAACUUCUAAUCUUGAGUAUGGGAGGGGGAGAUGGAAUUAGUGGUGUAGGGGUAAAAUCCGUAGACAUCACUAGGAAUACCUAAAGCGAAGGCGAUCUCCUGGAACAUUACUGACGCUAAGGCGUGAAAGCGUGGGGAGCAAACAGGAUUAGAUACCCCCGUAGUC
rnacentral:rRNA from 1 species